rnacentral:lncRNA from 1 species
CCGCUUUUUAUGCCCAUGCAACUGUGCAGAGUCCUCAGAUAACACAUCCCAAAGCCUGUCAGAGCCAGAGGCACAAGGCCCCACUUAUACUUGGGCAAAGAGAGGCCAGGGGUCUUGCCCAAGUCACUGGCAAAGCCGCAGCUCAGACCCCGGCGUCGGUUUCCAGGCCCCUCCUCUCUGCUCCGCUCCUCUCCAGGCCCCUCCUCUCUGCUCCGCUCCUCUCCAGGCCCCUCCCAGUUUUUGGUUAAACUUCUCAUGUCACGUUUUCUGACAACACCUUCCAUUGUACCAUCUGUUUCUGAACAAUACCUGGGACAUUGCAAACUUGUUCUGCAAGAAUACCCUGGGUCUCAGUGUGUGUGACAAGGGAUGGAAGAAUUCACCAGUAAAACCACCUGGACCUGAAAUUUUUUCAUGGGAAAGUUUUUGAUGAUGUAUUCAAUCUCUACUCAAAUGUUCUAUUUCAUCUUGUGUCAAUUUUGAGUUUUGCUCUUGUUGCCCAAGCUGGAGUUCAAUGGUGUGAUCUCGGCUCACUGCAACCUCCACCUCCUGGGUUCAAGUGAUUCUCCUGCCUCAUCCUCCUGAGUAGCUGGGAUUACAGAUACGUGGUCUUGCUAUGUUGCCCAGGCUGGUCUCAGACUCCUGGGCUCAAAGGAUCUGCCUGCCUCAGCCUCCGGAAGUGCUGGGAUUACAGGUGUGAGCCACUGUACUCCGCCACAGGAGCGUGUGGCCGGGGACUCGUGCAUGCCAGGGAAGAGCACUGGCUUCCGGAUCCUCUGACUUCACCAUGUGACUUGGCCAGCAAUGACCCUGGGUUAGAGAUAGGUGGAGCGGAGGCAGGCAGUGGUCAGAGACCCCAGACAUGGGGUCCUGGCACCACAACUGUGAUUUUCCAUCACUUUAGAGGCACCAACAGGGGUCCCUCUGGAAACGUGGAGCAGAAUCAUCCAGGAUCCCGAAGAGGACUUUGUCCUCCUGCCCAUUUCCAGUUCCUCUCCCAUCUCCUCUGGUUUCCAGAAGCAGCACAUCCCCGGCCCCACCCCUCAUCUGUAUACGGAUCCUCCUAAUGCAGACCCAGGUGAUGGAAAACCCGUCUACAACGAACCAAGGCUGUUCGUGCUUUCAAAUAUUAAAUUCUGUUCAGAAUAUUAAAUAAUUUCAUCUUCAGUGAUCCCAGUAAAUUUAAUUAGCUCUUGUUCUCCCAAUAGAGUUGUCUCUUGGUUGCUGAAAUGUUGCAUUCUCAAGGAAGGAGGCCCACAUUCCUGCAGCGCGGAGGGCUCGCUGUCUCCCUGCGCAGCCUGCCCUGCCGCAGGCACCACGGCACAUCGGCUGCCAGGAUCCCCUGUGCCCUGGCAGGAGGCGGAUGACACGGAGCUCUGCUGUCCGUGAGCUGUUCAUUCUCUGGGGGCAGGGAGAACCUUGAGGGAUCUGCUGGGUACCCUCCGUCAGGGUGCUGUGCAAGGGCAAUUAUAAACGACACUCCAGGGACCCCACAGAGCUGGCAUCCUUCUUCCAGGGGGAGCAGCCUGAGGGUGGCUGGGUCUGCCUGUGUCCUGGAGCUAGGCCCGUGAAGAUGGGUCUCCAUCAUUUCUCCAUCUUCUGGCCCCCGCUCUAGGGAAGUGUGGGCAGCUCCUCCUGAGAGGUGAGCCACUGGGGAGGGUUGCAGGGAAUUCCUGAGACACUGCGGUGAG